rnacentral:rRNA from 1 species
GAUGAACGCUGACAGAAUGCUUAACACAUGCAAGUCAACUUGAACUUCGGUUUGGGUGGCGGACGGGUGAGUAACGCGUAACGAACUUGCCUCACAGCUAGGGACAACAUUUGGAAACGAAUGCUAAUACCUGAUAUUAUGAUUUUAGGGCAUCCUAGAAUUAUGAAAGCUAUAUGCGCUGUGAGAGAGCUUUGCGUCCCAUUAGCUAGUUGGAGAGGUAACGGCUCACCAAGGCGAUGAUGGGUAGCCGGCCUGAGAGGGUGAACGGCCACAAGGGGACUGAGACACGGCCCUUACUCCUACGGGGGGCAGCAGUGGGGAAUAUUGGACACUGGACCAAGAGUCUGAUCCAGCCAUUCUGUGUGCACGAUGAAGUUUUUCGGAAUGUAAAGUGCUUUCAGUUGGGAAGAAAAAAAUGACGGUACCAACAGAAGAAGUGACGGCUAACUACGUG